rnacentral:rRNA from 1 species
UCGAGCGGCGAACGGGUGAGUAACGCGUGGAUAACCUGCCCUGAGGUGGGGGAUAACCAAGGGAAACUUUGGCUAAUACCGCAUGAUACCGAGAGGUCAAAGGGGGCUCGCAAGGGCUCUCGCCAUAGGAGGGGUCCGCGUCCGAUUAGCUAGUUGGUAGGGUAAUGGCCUACCAAGGCGACGAUCGGUAGCCGGCCUGAGAGGGUGAUCGGCCACACUGGAACUGAGACACGGUCCAGG